UUACAUACAUAAUACAUAAAAUGUAUAAGUGUGACUUACUCGUGUGGUACGUGUACUCGUUGUAAGGAGUUAAUUCGUCUUAGUCCUGGAGUAAAUUAGAUGUUCCAGAUUAUCCUCCAUGGCAGAGGUUGAGCGAGAGAGAGAGAGAGAGGCCAGAACACCACCAUAAGCUGUUGAGUUUAGAGUUAGUCAGUUAGAUUACAGACAACAAACCACAAAAAAGGGACAUGCGAAAGGGGGAAAGGAAGAGAAUGGCUAUAUAUAGAGGAAAUACAAAUCGUGGGUAUCGAGAAGAAAGUGUUGCUAGGAGCUGUCAACAGUUACUAUGGUGCUGGCUGAAACUAUACCAAAUUCCCAUCAAUUUUUGUCUCUUAGAACUAGUUAGAUUCAGCUUUGUAUCGCUGUAUAGUGUGAAGAAUUCAAUAUGGAGAAAUAACUA